rnacentral:rRNA from 1 species
UUCGCAAUGCCCGAAAGGGUGACGAAGCGACGCCGCGUGCGGGAAGAAGGCCUUCGGGUUGUAAACCGCUGUCGGGAGUUAAGAAAUGCAAGGAUGUUAAUAGCGUCUUUGCUUGACUAAGGCUCCGGAGGAAGCCACGGCUAACUCUGUGCCAGCAGCCGCGGUAAUACAGAGGCGGCAAGCGUUGUUCGGAAUUAUUGGGCGUAAAGAGCACGUAGGCGGCUGUGUAAGUCGGUUGUGAAAGCCUUCCGCUCAACGGAAGAACGGCAUCCGAUACUGCAUGGCUUGAGUGCGGGAGGGGAGAGUGGAACUUCUGGUGGAGCGGUGAAAUGCGUAGAUAUCAGAAGGAACACCGGCGGCGAAGGCGACUCUCUGGCCCGUAACUGACGCUGAGUGUGCGAAAGCUAGGGGAGCAAACGGGAUUAGAUACCCCGGUAGUCCUAGCCGUAAACGAUGGGCACUAAGUAGAGGGGUUUU